rnacentral:rRNA from 1 species
UCCUACGGGAGGCAGCAGUGGGGAAUUUUCCGCAAUGGGCGAAAGCCUGACGGAGCAAUACCGCGUGAGGGAUGACGGCCUAUGGGUUGUAAACCUCUUUUCAGGGAGGAACCAAAUGACGUGUACCUGAAGAAUAAGCAUCGGCUAACUCCGUGCCAGCAGCCGCGGUAAGACGGAGGAUGCAAGUGUUAUCCGGAAUCACUGGGCGUAAAGCGUCUGUAGGUGGUCAAAUAAGUCAACUGUUAAAUCUUGAGGCUCAACCUCAAAAUCGCAGUCGAAACUAUUCGACUUGAGUAUAGUAGGGGUAAAGGGAAUUUCCAGUGGAGCGGUGAAAUGCGUAGAGAUUGGAAAGAACACCGAUGGCGAAGGCACUUUACUGGGCUAUUACUAACACUCAGAGACGAAAGCUAGGGUAGCAAAUGGGAUUAGAUACCCCAGUAGUCCUAGCUGUAAACAAUGGAUACUAGAUGUUGGACAGAUCGACCUGUGCAGUAUCAAAGCUAACGCGUUAAGUAUCCCGCCUGGGAAGUAUGCUCGCAAGAGUGAAACUCAAAUGAAUUGACGG